rnacentral:rRNA from 1 species
AUUGAACGCUGGCGGCAGGCCUAACACAUGCAAGUCGAGCGAGCGGCGGACGGGUGAGUAAUGUCUGGGAAACUGCCUGAUGGAGGGGGAUAACUACUGGAAACGGUAGCUAAUACCGCAUACCAUCAGAUGUGCCCAGAUGGGAUGAGCUAGUAGGUGGGGUAACGGCUAACCUAGGCGACGAUCCCUAGCUGGUCUGAGAGGAUGACCAGCCACACUGGAACUGGGACACGGUCCAGCCUCCUACGGGAGGCAGAGGUGGGGAAUAUUGGACAAUGGGCGAAAGCCUGAUGCAGCCAGGCCGCGUGUGUGAGGAAGGCCUUCGGGUUGUAAGGCACUUUCAGCGGGGAGGCGUUACCCGCAGAAGAAGCACCGGCUAACUCCGUGCCAGCAGCCGCGGUAAUAC